UACAGAGGGUGCGAGCGUUAAUCGGAAUUACUGGGCGUAAAGCGCGCGUAGACGGUUUUGUAAGUCAGAUGUGAAAUCCCUGGGCUCAACCUGGGAACUGCAUUUGAGACUGCAUGGCUAGAGUAUGGAAGAGGGAAGUGGAAUUUCCGGUGUAGCGGUGAAAUGCGUAGAUAUCGGAAGGAACACCAGUGGCGAAAGCGACUUCCUGGUCCAAUACUGACGUUCAUGUGCGAAAGCGUGGGGGAGCAAACAGG
rnacentral:rRNA from 1 species